UCAUGCACAGAUCCAGGCCAUCGCACAAC
rnacentral:piRNA from 1 species